rnacentral:rRNA from 1 species
GAUGAACGCUGGCGGCGUGCCUAAUACAUGCAAGUCGAGCGAACAGAUGAGGAGCUUGCUCCUCUGACGUUAGCGGCGGACGGGUGAGUAACACGUGGAUAACCUACCUAUAAGACUGGGAUAACUUCGGGAAACCGGAGCUAAUACCGGAUAAUAUAGUGAACCGCAUGGUUCAAUAGUGAAAGACGGUUUUGCUGUCACUUAUAGAUGGAUCCGCGCCGCAUUAGCUAGUUGGUAAGGUAACGGCUUACCAAGGCAACGAUGCGUAGCCGACCUGAGAGGGUGAUCGGCCACACUGGAACUGAGACACGGUCCAGACUCCUACGGGAGGCAGCAGUAGGGAAUCUUCCGCAAUGGGCGAAAGCCUGACGGAGCAACGCCGCGUGAGUGAUGAAGGUCUUCGGAUCGUAAAACUCUGUUAUUAGGGAAGAACAAAUGUGUAAGUAACUAUGCACGUCUUGACGGUACCUAAUCAGAAAGCCACGGCUAACUACGU